GAUGAACGCUGGCGGCGUGCCUAAUACAUGCAAGUCGAGCGAACAGACGAGGAGCUUGCUCCCCUGACGUUAGCGGCGGGCGGGUGAGUAACACGUGGAUAACCUACCUAUAAGACGGGGAUAACUUCGGAAAACCGGAGAUAAUACCGGAUAAUAUAUUGAACCGCAGGGUUCAAUAGUGAAAGACGCUUUUGGUGACUCUUAUAGCUGGUUCCGGGCCGGAUAAGCGAGUUGGUAAGGUAACGGCUUACCAAGGCAACGAUGCGUAGCCGACCUGAGAGGGUGAUCAGCCACACUGGAACUGAGACACGGUCCAGACUCCUACGGGAGGCAGCAGUAGGGAAUCUUGCGCAAUGGGCGCAAGCCUGACGCAGCAACGCCGCGUGAGUGAUGAAGGUCUUCGGAUCGUAAAGCUCUGUUAUUAGGGAAGAACAACUGUGUAAGUAACUACGGCCGUCUUGACGGUACCUAAUCAGAAAGCCCCGGCUAACUACGUG
rnacentral:rRNA from 1 species